rnacentral:misc_RNA from 1 species
AACAAGGCGUACCUGCGGACCUGCGGAAGGAUCAUUAACAUUUUUGGAGGUAGGCUGUAUAAGUCUGGUUGGUAACAACUAGCAUGGCCCCUCUGAUUUGUACCCUUGUCUAUUUGCGCACUUAUGUUUCCUCGGUGGGCUUGCCUGCCGAUUGGACAAACUUAUAACCUUUUUAAUUGUUAAAUCAGCGUCUGAAACAAACAUAAUAAUUACAACUUUCAACAAUGGAUCUCAGAUCGG